UACGUAGGGGGCAAGCGUUAUCCGGAAUUACUGGGUGUAAAGGGAGCGUAGACGGUAAUGUAAGUCUGGAGUGAAAGGCGGGGGCCCAACCCCCGGACUGCUCUGGAAACUAUGUUACUAGAGUGCAGGAGAGGUAAGCGGAUUUCCUAGUGUAGCGGUGAAAUGCGUAGAUAUUAGGAGGAACACCAGUGGCGAAGGCGGCUUACUGGACUGUAACUGACGUUGAGGCUCGAAAGCGUGGGGAGCAAACAGG
rnacentral:rRNA from 1 species